CCUACGGGGGGCAGCAGUGGGGAAUAUUGGACAAUGGGGGGAACCCUGAUCCAGCCAUGCCGCGUGUGUGAAGAAGGCCCUCGGGUUGUAAAGCACUUUCAGUGAGGAAGAACGCCUGGUGGUUAAUACCCAUCAGUAAAGACAUCACUCACAGAAGAAGCACCGGCUAACUCCGUGCCAGCAGCCGCGGUAAUACGUAGGGUGCGAGCGUUAAUCGGAAUUACUGGGCGUAAAGCGCGCGUAGGUGGCUUGAUAAGCCGGUUGUGAAAGCCCCGGGCUCAACCUGGGAACGGCAUCCGGAACUGUCAAGCUAGAGUGCAGGAGAGGAAGGUAGAAUUCCCGGUGUAGCGGUGAAAUGCGUAGAGAUCGGGAGGAAUACCAGUGGCGAAGGCGGCCUUCUGGACUGACACUGACACUGAGGUGCGAAAGCGUGGGUAGCAAACAGGAUUAGAUACCCGAGUAGUC
rnacentral:rRNA from 1 species